UGCCAGCAGCCGCGGUAAUACGGAGGGGGCAAGCGUUGUCCGGAAUUAUUGGGCGUAAAGGGCGCGCAGGCGGCCUAUUAAGUCUGGUGUUUAAACUCGAGGCUCAACUUCGAGUCGCACCGGAAACUGGUAAGCUUGAGUGCAGAAGAGGAGAGUGGAAUUCCACGUGUAGCGGUGAAAUGCGUAGAGAUGUGGAGGAACACCAGUGGCGAAGGCGACUCUCUGGUCUGUAACUGACGCUGAGGCGCGAAAGCGUGGGGAGCGAACAGGAUUAGAUA
rnacentral:rRNA from 1 species